UGAGGAACAUGACCUUCGGCGGGGGAUAGCCGGCCCAACGGCCGGGUAAUACCGCGUACGACCUUUUGGGGACAUCCCUGAUUGGUGAAAGCAGCAAUGCGCCGAAAGAGUGCCUCGCGGCCUAUCAGCUAGUUGGUGGGGUAAUGGCUCACCAAGGCGACGACGGGUAGCUGGUCUGAGAGGAUGGCCAGCCACAGUUGGGACUGGAGGCACCGGCCCAGACCUCCGUACGGGGAGGNAGCG
rnacentral:rRNA from 1 species